AAAAUGUCCGAAUUUUCCUGGGAAUAUCAAAGAGGACUAGGGAGUGGGAAAGCCAUGAAGUAUCACCUCAAAAUGGGAGAAAAGGACAUAUAAAGGAAAAGACAAUUACACAUGAAAAAAAUAAACUAAUGGACUGUGUGACAUUUUCUU
rnacentral:lncRNA from 1 species